rnacentral:rRNA from 1 species
GAUGAACGCUAGCGGAAGGCUUAAUACAUGCAAGUCGAGCGGUAGGUGGCUUCGGCCAUUGAGAGCGGCGCACGGGUGAGUAACGCGUACAUGACCUGCCUGUCAGAAGGGGAUAGCCCUGGGAAACUGGGAUUAAUACCCUAUGGUAUUGAUAUUAUGAAUGAUAUCAAUUAAAGUUGAGGCGCUGACAGAUGGAUGUGCGUCUGAUUAGCUAGUUGGUAGGGUAACGGCCUACCAAGGCGACGAUCAGUAGGGGGCGUGAGAGCGUGGUCCCCCACACGGGUACUGAGACACGGACCCGACCCCUACGGGAGGCAGCAGUAAGGAAUAUUGGUCAAUGCCCGCAAGGGUGAACCAGCCAUUCCGCGUGGAGGAUGAAGGCCCUAUGGGUUGUAAACUUCUUUUAGAUGGGAAGAAAAUGCUAGAUGUAUCUGGUACUGACGGUACCAUCAGAAUAAGCACCGGCUAACUCCGUGCCAGCAGCCGCAGUAACAC